CCUACGUGUGGCAGCAGUCGAGAAUCAUUCACAAUGGGCGAAACCCUGAUGGUGCGACGCCGCGUGGGGGAAUGAAGGUCUUCGUAUUGUAAACCCCUGUCAUGUGGGAGCAAAUUAAAAUGAUAGUACCACAAGAGGAAGAGACGGCUAACUCUGUGCCAGCAGCAGCGGUAAUACAGAGGUCUCAAGCGUUGUUCGGAAUCACUGGUCGGAAAGCGUGCGUAGGCUGUUUCGUACGUCGUUUGGGAAAGGCGCGGGCUCAACACGCGGGCGGCACCUGAUACUGCGAGACUAGAGUAAUGGAGAGGGAGCCGGAAUUCUCGGUGUAGCAGUGAAAUGCGUAGAUAGGGAGAGGAACACUCGUGGCGAAGGCGGGUUCCUGGACAUUAACUGACGCUGAGGCACGAAGGCCAGGGGAGCGAAAGGGAUUAGAUACCCUGGUAGUC
rnacentral:rRNA from 1 species